UACGGGGGGGAGCAAGCGUUGUUCGGAUUUACUGGGCGUAAAGGGCGCGUAGGCGGCGUGACAAGUCACUUGUGAAAUCUCCGGGCUUAACUCGGAACGGUCAAGUGAUACUGUCGUGCUAGAGUACAGAAGGGGCAACUGGAAUUCUCGGUGUAGCGGUGAAAUGCGUAGAUAUCGAGAGGAACACCUGAGGCGAAGGCGGGCUACUGGGCUGAUACUGACGCUGAUGCGCGAAAGCCAGGGGAGCGAACGGG
rnacentral:rRNA from 1 species